AAAUCCUGUAAUCCUGGGGGGACACCCAGUGGCGAAGCGUUCACCUAGAACGAAUCCGACAGUGAGGGACGAAGCCAUAGGGCGCAAACGGGAUUUAGAUACCCCGGUAGUCUAGGGUGUAAACGCUGCAGACUUGGUGUUGGGGGUCCUGCGUGGGGCUCCCCAGUGCCGGGAGUGAAAGGUGUUGAGUCUGCCGCUUGGGGGAGUACGGGUCGCAAAGACUGAAAACUUUAAAGGAAAUUGGCGGGGAGAGCACCCGCAAACGGGGAGGGAGCGUGCGGUUCAAAUUGGAUUUCAACGCCGGGAAAACUCACCCGGAGGCGACGGAGGGGAUGAAAAGCCCAGGCUGAAGACCCUUGCCCGAUUUCUCCGAGAGGUGGUGCAUGGCCGUCGUCAGUUUCGUACCGUAAGGGCGUUUCUGUUAAGUCAGAUAACGAAACGAGACCCCUCGCCGUUAGUCGCGAUCUUACGAAGCGAUUGUAGGAGCACACUAGCGGGAUCGCUGCCGUUAGGCAAGGAAGGAGAGGUCUACGGUGGUCCGUAUGCCCCGAAUCAUCCGGCAACACGCGCGCUACAAGGUGGGACAAGGACCCGAUCUGAAAGCGGAGCAUCCUGGACCUCUCGUAUUUGGAUCUGAGCUGUACUGCCUUGUAAAAAUGAUUCGUAGUAUCGCAGUCACGUCCGCGGGGGUGGCCCUGCUCUUGCCACCCCCCGUCACUCUUCCGGUUGUUGGGUAGAUCCUAUCCCAGCGCUGAAUUGGUUAGCCGG
rnacentral:rRNA from 1 species